CAUAGCUUAGUGCUAAUACUAAGUGAAUUCUGCCCAAUGAGUUUAAUGGCCGCAGUACCUUGACUGUGCAAAGGUAGCAUAAUAAUUUGGCUUUUAAUUGGGGUCGCGUAUGAAAGAAUAACGGGGUAAUUGUCUUUUAUAGGUAUUCUGAAUUUACUUUGUAGGUGAAAAUUCCUACAGAAAUUAUUAGACGAGAAGACCCUCAGAAUUUUUAUAAUUUUUGUUGGGGCGACAGUAGAAGAUAAACUUAUUUAAAUUUUAUACAAGACGAGAAAGAAUAAAUUACCUGAGGGAUAACAGCAUAAUUUUAAGAUUAUGACCUCGAUGUUGGAUUAGGAAUUAGUGGUAAGCAAUUACUAUUGUUCUGUUCGAACCCUACGUGAUCU
rnacentral:rRNA from 1 species